rnacentral:rRNA from 1 species
UACGUAGGGUGCAAGCGUUGUCCGGAAUUAUUGGGCGUAAAGAGCUCGUAGGCGGUCUGUCACGUCGGCUGUGAAAUCCCGAGGCUCAACCUCGGGUCUGCAGUCGAUACGGGCAAACUAGAGUACUGCAGGGGAGACUGGAAUUCCUGGUGUAGCGGUGGAAUGCGCAGAUAUCAGGAGGAACACCGGUGGCGAAGGCGGGUCUCUGGGCAGUAACUGACGCUGAGAAGCGAAAGCGUGGGGAGCGAACAGG